rnacentral:rRNA from 1 species
ACGGCUCGUGUCGUGAGAUGUUGGGUUAAGUCCCGCAACGAGCGCAACCCCUACUUGCCAGUUGCUAACAGGAGAGCUGAGCACUCUGGCGAGACUGCCGCCGACAAGGCGGAGGAAGGUGGGGAUGACGUCAAGUCAUCAUGGCCUUUAUGCCCAGGGCUACACACGUGCUACAAUGGCCGGCACAGACGGCAGCUUAGUGGCGACACUUGGCAAAUCCUCUAAAGCCGGUCCCAGUUCGGAUUGUAGUCUGCAACUCGACUACAUGAAGCCGGAAUCGCUAGUAAUCGCAGAUCAGCCAAGCUGCGGUGAAUACGUUCCCGGGCCUU